AAUGAACGUUGGCGGCGUGGAUUAGGCAUGCAAGUCGAGCGAGAAGAGUUUUGAAGCUUGCUUUAGAACUCGGAAAGCGGCGAAAGGGAGAGUAACGCGUAGUUAUGUACCCAGGGGUUCGGAAUAGCCACGGGAAACUGUGGGUAAUGCCGAAUAACAUCUCCGGAUCAAAGGUGUGAUUCCGCCCUUGGAGCAGACUGCGUCCUACUAGCUAGUUGGCGGGGUAAUGGCCCACCAAGGCAACAAUGGGUAGCGGGUGUGAGAGCAUGACCCGUCUCACGGGGACGAAGACACUGCCCAGCGCCCUACGGGUGGCUGCAGUCGAGACUCUUCGGCAAUGGGCGAAAGCCUGACCGAGCGACGCCGCGUGCGGGAUGAAGGCCCUCGGGUUGUAAACCGCUGUCGUAGGGGAGGAAGGCUCCGUGAAGAACGGGGUUUGACCUAUCCUAGGAGGAAGUACGGGCUAAGUUCGUGCCAGCAGCCGCCGUAAUAC
rnacentral:rRNA from 1 species